rnacentral:rRNA from 1 species
AUUGAACGCUGGCGGCAUGCCUUACACAUGCAAGUCGAACGGCAGCGGGGACUUCGGUCCGCCGGCGAGUGGCGAACGGGUGAGUAACGUAUCGGAACGUACCAUUGAGUGGGGGAUAACGUAGCGAAAGUUACGCUAAUACCGCAUAUUCUCUCCGGAGGAAAGCAGGGGACCGCAAGGCCUGGCGCUCUUUGAGCGGCCGAUAUCGGAUUAGCUAGUUGGGGAGGAAAAGGUUCACCAAGGAGCCGAUCCGAAGCUGGUCUGAGAGGACGACCAGCCACACUGGGACUGAGACACGGCCCAGACUCCUACGGGAGGCAGCAGUGGGGAAUUUUGGACAAUGGGCGCAAGCCUGAUCCAGCCAUGCCGCGUGAGUGAAGAAGGCCUUCGGGUUGUAAAGCUCUUUCGCAAGGAAAGAAAACUUAACCACUAAUACUGGCUGAGGAUGACGGUACCUUGAUAAGAAGCACCGGCUAACUACGUGCCAGCAGCCGCGGUAACAC